rnacentral:rRNA from 1 species
UACGUAGGGGGCAAGCGUUGUCCGGAAUUCUCGGGCGUAAAGAGCGUGUAGGCGGUCCGGUAAGUCAGCUGUGAAAGUCAAGGGCUCAACCCUUGAAAGCCGGUUGAUACUGUCGGGCUAGAGUCCGGAAGAGGCGAGUGGAAUUCCCGGUGUAGCGGUGAAAUGCGCAGAUAUCGGGAGGAACACCAAUGGCGAAGGCAGCUCGCUGGGACGGUACUGACGCUGAGACGCGAAAGCGUGGGGAGCAAACAGG